rnacentral:rRNA from 1 species
GGGUUGUGAGGUUAAGCGACUAAGCGUACACGGUGGAUGCCCUGGCAGUCAGAGGCGAUGAAGGGCGUGCUAAUCUGCGAUAAGCGCCGGUAAGGUGAUAUGAACCGUUAUAACCGGCGAUACCCGAAUGGGGAAACCCAGUGUGAUUCGUCACACUAUCAUUAACUGAAUCCAUAGGUUAAUGAGGCGAACCGGGGGAACUGAAACAUCUAAGUACCCCGAGGAAAAGAAAUCAACCGAGAUUCCCCCAGUAGCGGCGAGCGAACGGGGAGGAGCCCAGAGCCUGAAUCAGCAUGUGUGUUAGUGGAAGCGUCUGGAAAGGCGCGCGAUACAGGGUGACAGCCCCGUACACAAAAGCGCAUGUGCUGUGAGCUCGAUGAGUAGGGCGGGACACGUGGUAUCCUGUCUGAAUAUGGGGGGACCAUCCUCCAAGGCUAAAUACUCCUGACUGACCGAUAGUGAACCAGUACCGUGAGGGAAAGGCGAAAAGAACCCCGGCGAGGGGAGUGAAAAAGAACCUGAAACCGUGUACGUACAAGCAGUGGGAGCCCCACCACUAAGCCAGUGGUGAACUCCACAUACGCAUCCUUUGCUGAGGAUACGGUUAACGGAGCGAAAGCGACGUUCAACCUCAAAAGAAGCAGAGGGGGCUUAGUGGUGGGGUGACUGCGUACCUUUUGUAUAAUGGGUCAGCGACUUAUAUUCUGUAGCAAGGUUAACCGAAUAGGGGAGCCGGAGGGAAACCGAGUCUUAAUUGGGCGUUAAGUUGCAGGGUAUAGACCCGAAACCCGGUGAUCUAGCCAUGGGCAGGUUGAAGGUUGGGUAACACUAACUGGAGGACCGAACCGACUAAUGUUGAAAAAUUAGCGGAUGACCUGUGGCUGGGGGUGAAAGGCCAAUCAAACCGGGAGAUAGCUGGUUCUCCCCGAAAGCUAUUUAGGUAGCGCCUCGUGAAUUCAUCUCCGGGGGUAGAGCACUGUUUCGGCUAGGGGGCCAUCCCGGCUUACCAACCCGAUGCAAACUGCGAAUACCGGAGAAUGUUAUCACGGGAGACACACGGCGGGUGCUAACGUCCGUCGUGAAGAGGGAAACAACCCAGACCGCCAGCUAAGGUCCCAAAGUCAUGGUUAAGUGGGAAACGAUGUGGGAAGGCCCAGACAGCCAGGAUGUUGGCUUAGAAGCAGCCAUCAUUUAAAGAAAGCGUAAUAGCUCACUGGUCGAGUCGGCCUGCGCGGAAGAUGUAACGGGGCUAAACCAUGCACCGAAGCUGCGGCAGCGACACUGUGUGUUGUUGGGUAGGGGAGCGUUCUGUAAGCCUGUGAAGGUGUGUCGUGAGGCAUGCUGGAGGUAUCAGAAGUGCGAAUGCUGACAUAAGUAACGAUAAAGCGGGUGAAAAGCCCGCUCGCCGGAAGACCAAGGGUUCCUGUCCAACGUUAAUCGGGGCAGGGUGAGUCGACCCCUAAGGCGAGGCCGAAAGGCGUAGUCGAUGGGAAACGGGUUAAUAUUCCCGUACUUGGUGUUACUGCGAAGGGGGGACGGAGAAGGCUAUGUUGGCCGGGCGACGGUUGUCCCGGUUUAAGCGUGUAGGUGUGUGUUCCAGGUAAAUCCGGUUCACUUUAACACUGAGGCGUGACGACGAGGCACUACGGUGCUGAAGCAACAAAUGCCCUGCUUCCAGGAAAAGCCUCUAAGCAUCAGGUAACAUCAAAUCGUACCCCAAACCGACACAGGUGGUCAGGUAGAGAAUACCAAGGCGCUUGAGAGAACUCGGGUGAAGGAACUAGGCAAAAUGGUGCCGUAACUUCGGGAGAAGGCACGCUGACACGUAGGUGAAGUGAUUUACUCAUGGAGCUGAAGUCAGUCGAAGAUACCAGCUGGCUGCAACUGUUUAUUAAAAACACAGCACUGUGCAAACACGAAAGUGGACGUAUACGGUGUGACGCCUGCCCGGUGCCGGAAGGUUAAUUGAUGGGGUCAGCGCAAGCGAAGCUCCUGAUCGAAGCCCCGGUAAACGGCGGCCGUAACUAUAACGGUCCUAAGGUAGCGAAAUUCCUUGUCGGGUAAGUUCCGACCUGCACGAAUGGCGUAAUGAUGGCCAGGCUGUCUCCACCCGAGACUCAGUGAAAUUGAACUCGCUGUGAAGAUGCAGUGUACCCGCGGCAAGACGGAAAGACCCCGUGAACCUUUACUAUAGCUUGACACUGAACAUUGAGCCUUGAUGUGUAGGAUAGGUGGGAGGCUUUGAAGUGUGGACGCCAGUCUGCAUGGAGCCGACCUUGAAAUACCACCCUUUAAUGUUUGAUGUUCUAACGUGGACCCGUAAUCCGGGUUGCGGACAGUGUCUGGUGGGUAGUUUGACUGGGGCGGUCUCCUCCUAAAGAGUAACGGAGGAGCACGAAGGUUGGCUAAUCCUGGUCGGACAUCAGGAGGUUAGUGCAAUGGCAUAAGCCAGCUUGACUGCGAGCGUGACGGCGCGAGCAGGUGCGAAAGCAGGUCAUAGUGAUCCGGUGGUUCUGAAUGGAAGGGCCAUCGCUCAACGGAUAAAAGGUACUCCGGGGAUAACAGGCUGAUACCGCCCAAGAGUUCAUAUCGACGGCGGUGUUUGGCACCUCGAUGUCGGCUCAUCACAUCCUGGGGCUGAAGUAGGUCCCAAGGGUAUGGCUGUUCGCCAUUUAAAGUGGUACGCGAGCUGGGUUUAGAACGUCGUGAGACAGUUCGGUCCCUAUCUGCCGUGGGCGCUGGAGAACUGAGGGGGGCUGCUCCUAGUACGAGAGGACCGGAGUGGACGCAUCACUGGUGUUCGGGUUGUCAUGCCAAUGGCACUGCCCGGUAGCUAAAUGCGGAAGAGAUAAGUGCUGAAAGCAUCUAAGCACGAAACUUGCCCCGAGAUGAGUUCUCCCUGAGACUUAGAGUCUCCUGAAGGAACGUUGAAGACGACGACGUUGAUAGGCCGGGUGUGUAAGCGCAGCGAUGCGUUGAGCUAACCGGUACUAAUGAACCGUGAGGCUUAACCUUACAACGCCGAAG